AAAAAAAAAAAAAGUUCAAAAUAAAAUUACAUUUAACCAUAUCAUUAUCUUUGUCUCAAUUAAAUUAAAAUGUCACAAUUGACAUUUAUAUUGAAGUUUUUAAAAUUUAACCUUAAUUGUUGUAAAUAUUUAAAUUAAUUAAAUUUAAAAUAUUUUAUUCAAAGUUUUUAAGAUAUAUUUUUAAAUUUUUACUAGUGACAAAUUUUAAAGAAUAAAAAAGUCAGAAUUUAAAAAUUUUGACUAUAAAAGGAAUUGAGAACUUGACAAAUUUGUUUUUCGAAAAGAGAGAAUAAUUUGUAAGAUCAUAAUAACAAAAGUAUUAUAUUAUGAACUAUAAAAAUUUGGUUUCAAUCUCAAACCAUUUUAUUUAUGUUCCUCAAUUAUUAAAAAGAUAAAAUUAAACAGGUGUUUUUAUAAAGAAAAAAACUUGAGGCUAAUGAAACCUUAGUUGAAUGAUAAAGAUUAAAUUAAGUUUGAGUGGGCAUAGAUUUGAAGCUACCAUAUUAUUUUUGAUAUAAUGAUGAUAUUAUUAUUUUUAAAAUAAAUGAAGACUUGACCAAUAAUGGAUAUGAAGGAUGAUUUUUUAUUUAUUUACAUUGAAUAGGAGAGAAGGCAAGUCGAAGGCCAAAAGGAAGGCUGACAUGAACCGUACCAUUGACAUCUGAUUGGGUAAAUGAGACGUAGAAAUUGCAAAGUUUUGUAGGUCCCAUUCUACACCGCCCCCUUGUCUCACCCUCCUCAAAUAAAUAAAUAAAAUGUAAACCAUAAUUCCCUGUUUCUUUCAAACUAUGAGUUUCACCAUCUACGUCUCUUUGCACUCUCCAAAAGCCGCCGAAAGGUCCCAAAGGCCCAUCCCAUCCGUUUUCUCUAUUGCCCUUUCCUAAACUCAUUCAUUUCCCUAUCGCCACACUGCGCCUUUUUUCUUUUCCUUUUAUGCAAAUGUGAAUUUGUUGUGGAUAACCAUCACCAUGGAUUUAUAUUUAUAAUAAUAAUAGUGAGUUCCCGUAGAGCCAGCCAGUUUUGGAAUGCAAUGAGUGAGCUUUGAAGAAAAUUUUGGAUUUAUAUAUUUAUAUGGAGAGAGGGGGAUGAAUUCACAGUUUAUGUACGCAACAACAGCAGCCAGACCAAAGACCCUAGUUUUGUUGGUUAUGCCGAAACAUUGUUUGCCUGCUUUAAUCUUUUCGUCCAAUGAAAAUGGAGGCAUACACUUCAUUGCCACGUAUUUUGCCUCACAAGAUCAAUUUUAUCUUCCUACUUUUUAAGAGGAGAGGAGAUGGAUGGAUGGGUCAAUGCUUGAAACCAACUCCCUAGAUUUGCUUGGAAGUUACAUGUGCUGACUUCACUGAUGAUGAAAUAUAUUUCGACCCUCAACUUGUAAUUUGUCGGCCAUCAAUGGGCUGCCUAUAACAUUAAUAAAUAUAUGGACUUGAAUGCAAUGGUACAAGAAUUUAAAACUUCAAUCCAAAUAUAUAUAACACUUCUCACAGAUAUUGAAUUUAAUAUGAGCGUCAUAGUUAAAUAUUAAAAUUUGUGAAUCACAUAAAUAUAUGGCCAUUAAGAGUGGAAACAUAUGUUGAAGUCUUGGUUUUAAUUAAAGAGUGGAUGAUGAUUUAGAUUAGAAAUAAAUAGUGGGGUAUACUUGAUAAUUUCCUGACCAAUCAGAAAUUCUUAAAAAACAAAACAACUAAAGCAUGAUCUCUCAUCUAAAAUCAUAAACUGGGAAAAAUAUAAGUCUGAUUUAUUCAUGCCAUGCAUACAUUCAUGACUUAAACACAAAGAUCAUGAAAAGAGAAGGGUUACAUAGUAGCCAAAUAAAAUUGAUUUUAAAGGAUCACCGACAGAUUCUCAUUUUUCUCUCUAAUUUCACAGCUUUUAACACCAAAAAAUAAUCCCAAAAAAAAGUAAAAAAAAAAGAGAGAAAUCCCAUGUGCCGGUAAUACACAAACUCGCCGGAAAAUUCAUUUCCGGGGAAACCCCUCCCCAGAAGUAUCCAAAAAUAAUCUAAACCCCGGUUGUGGUGGUGGUAGUGGUAGAAAUGAAGAAUAUUACAUCGAAACUAGAUCAUUCCAAAAAGAAAAAAAACCCUCCUCUUCAAACAAAC
rnacentral:lncRNA from 1 species